AUAGAUGAUGGUAACCAGAACGAAGAGGACCCCCCUCGUGUUCCAAUUAUUGUCACCGACAUUUACAUGCAAGGCAGUUCCAGGAUGCAUCAGGUCGCACAGAUCAUCGUUUAUUCCGUAAAUGGUCAUGUGGCCAUGUCUGUAAACCUGGGGCUACAUUAGAUAUGCCAAACACUUUCACCGAUGUGAUAUUUGAAUAGAGAUGCUGCCAUAACUAUACAACACAAAGGACUUGUCCUACGUGCUAAUGAACCUGAAAAUUCAGCUGCAUAGAUGAACAGCUAAACAAAAGAACACUAUCAGAGUUAUCCGGCCCAGGCUGCCAAAUAUGCCAAAUUCUCCGGCCCAGCCUGUCCCUUCUUGUUAAAGUUAAAAGAAUUUUCACAAAUAAUAAAAAGGGGGAAUGCAACUCUCAUGGAGAGAUGACCGAAUGAUUGAAAAGUUCUGUACAUAUUUUUAAUAAAAGAUUAAACAUCA